rnacentral:rRNA from 1 species
CAGUCGAACGAGUUCUCGUUGAUGAUCGGUGCUUGCACCGAGAUUCAACAUGGAACGAGUGGCGGACGGGUGAGUAACACGUGGGUAACCUGCCCUUAAGUGGGGGAUAACAUUUGGAAACAGAUGCUAAUACCGCAUAGAUCCAAGAACCGCAUGGUUCUUGGCUGAAAGAUGGCGUAAGCUAUCGCUUUUGGAUGGACCCGCGGCGUAUUAGCUAGUUGGUGAGGUAAUGGCUCACCAAGGCGAUGAUACGUAGCCGAACUGAGAGGUUGAUCGGCCACAUUGGGACUGAGACACGGCCCAAACUCCUACGGGAGGCAGCAGUAGGGAAUCUUCCACAAUGGACGCAAGUCUGAUGGAGCAACGCCGCGUGAGUGAAGAAGGCUUUCGGGUCGUAAAACUCUGUUGUUGGAGAAGAAUGGUCGGCAGAGUAACUGUUGUCGGCGUGACGGUAUCCAACCAGAAAGCCACGGCUAACUACGUGCCAGCAGCCGCGGUAAUACGUAGGUGGCAAGCGUUAUCCGGAUUUAUUGGGCGUAAAGCGAGCGCAGGCGGUUUUUUAAGUCUGAUGUGAAAGCCCUCGGCUUAACCGAGGAAGCGCAUCGGAAACUGGGAAACUUGAGUGCAGAAAGAGGACAGUGGAACUCCAUGUGUAGCGGUGAAAUGCGUAGAUAUAUGGAAGAACACCAGUGGCGAAGGCGGCUGUCUGGUCUGUAACUGACGCUGAGGCUCGAAAGCAUGGGUAGCGAACAGGAUUAGAUACCCUGGUAGUCCAUGCCGUAAACGAUGAAUGCUAGGUGUUGGAGGGUUUCSGCCCUUUCAGUGCCGCAGCUAACGCAUUAAGCAUUCCGGCCUGGGGAGUACGACCGCAAGGGUUGAAACUCAAAGGAAUUGACGGGGGCCCGCACAAGCGGUGGAGCAUGUGGUUUAAUUCGAAGCAACGCGAAGAACCUUACCAGGUCUUGACAUCUUUUGAUCACCUGAGAGAUCAGGUUUCCCCUUCGGGGGCAAAAUGACAGGUGGUGCAUGGUUGUCGUCAGCUCGUGUCGUGAGAUGUUGGGUUAAGUCCCGCAACGAGCGCAACCCUUAUGACUAGUUGCCAGCAUUUAGUUGGGCACUCUAGUAAGACUGCCGGUGACAAACCGGAGGAAGGUGGGGAUGACGUCAAAUCAUCAUGCCCCUUAUGACCUGGGCUACACACGUGCUACAAUGGAUGGUACAACGAGUUGCGAGACCGCGAGGUCAAGCUAAUCUCUUAAAGCCAUUCUCAGUUCGGACUGUAGGCUGCAACUCGCCUACACGAAGUCGGAAUCGCUAGUAAUCGCGGAUCAGCACGCCGCGGUGAAUACGUUCCCGGGCCUUGUACACACCGCCCGUCACACCAUGAGAGUUUGUAACACCCGAAGCCGGUGGCGUAACCCUUUUAGGGAGCGAGCCGUC